rnacentral:tRNA from 1 species
AGGGGCGCAGCGCGUUUGUUUUGGGUACAAAAUGUCACGGGUUCAAAUCCUGUCAUCCCUA